GUGCACGCUGGCGGCAGGCCUCACCCAUGCAAGUCGAACGGCAGCACAAGAGAGCUUGCUCUCUGGGUGGCGAGUGGCGGACGGGUGAGGAAUGCAUCGGAAUCUGCCCAUUUGUGGGGGAUAACCUCGGGAAACCGGGACUAAUACCGCAUACGACCUACGGGUGAAAGCAGGGGAUCUUCGGACCUUGCGCAGAUGGAUGAGCCGAUGCCGGAUUAGCUAGUUGGAGGGGUAAAGGCCCACCAAGGCGACGAUCCGUAGCUGGUCUGAGAGGAUGAUCAGCCACACUGGGACUGAGACACGGCCCAGACUCCUACGGGAGGCAGCAGUGGGGAAUAUUGGACAAUGGGCGCAAGCCUGAUCCAGCCAUGCCGCGUGUGUGAAGAAGGCCUUCGGGUUGUAAAGCACUUUUGUUGGGAAAGAAAAGCAGCCGGUUAAUACCCGGUUGUCAUGACGGUACCCAAAGAAUAAGCACCGGCUAACUUCGUG
rnacentral:rRNA from 1 species